AAUCGGUUAUUGAAGAACCGAUUUUGUAUACUACAUAUAUACAAAAUCGGUUCUGAAAUAACUGAUUU
rnacentral:pre_miRNA from 8 species